rnacentral:lncRNA from 1 species
CGGCAGCGACAUGCCCGAAGCCGACCUCAAGCUGCCCUUUGGCGAUUUUGACGCAUUUCUUCCCCACUAUAUCGUGCAAUUUAGCGUGAACAAGUACCAACUCGGGAUCGCCUUUCUCUUAAUGAACUGCAUCUCAUGGAGUGUCUACCUUACUGCCCAAGUAUAGCCAUCCUCCUAUACUGUCUCAUUGGUUAUGAUGUGGUUUUUGGCAAUUCACUGAUUUUCUACAAACAAAAAAACAAGUUUUUCUUCUGUGUGUUCUUGAAGUAUAGAGGGAUCUUAAUUGUCUUUUCCACUUGUCUCUCUAUAGGGUUCAAUUUUGCGCUUGUACCCAGCUCUUCUGAGCAUGACGGCUGCCACAUACUUCUUCGGCAUUCUUCAAUUGGGUGUUGUUGCCGUUGCGAGCACAGGCAGGCUCCAUUUCGCGGAGUUUUCACUCACAUCCUGGCAACAGAUUGUUGGCGUAUUGUAUGCGGUAAGUGGCACAUGAAGGUCAUGAUCUAGAAAUUGACUCUAGCAAUUCCCCUCAUCAGAUUUUGAAAAUGUGAGCGAAUCUCCACCUGGGGAUUUGUGAUAUUCUCAUCUUAUGAAUCACCCCAUGCCACGCCUUCGUAAACUUGUAAUGGAUGCGAUAGCUCGGUCUCUCUUUUUCGCAAGUUCAGUAUCCGCAGGGAAUUGUUCAAGAUUGUAGUCAGUGUCUACAUGUAGGGCUGACGCGGUCAGGUUGCUUGCACAUGGAUCCAGGGAUUGAUCGCUUCGACGAUUAAUUUGCUGCUACAGACGUGGUGCGUGCAGAAGGGAGGCCCGUUCAUUGUCUCCCUGUAUGUUCCCUUGCAGAUGCUGAUGGUGGCUGUCUUGUCGGUGCUGCUGCUUCAGGAUACUCUCUACAUGGGAAUGUAAACUCCAUCAUAUCGACACAACUCCAUCUCUCACUGAUUCUUUCCAUGUGUUUGGGACAUUCUCUUGAUUCCCUCGCCUAACAGCUUGAGGAAUGCUUGUUCCGUUACAGAGUGCUGGGAGGCUUGCUGACAGUAGCUGGGUUCUACCUCGUAGUAUGGGGCCAAGGGCUGGAGCGACGACGUAAGCGUAGCCUGCUUGCACAACUCCUCGAACCUGAGCACGAUAUCUACAAAGUGGGCAUCCGGAAAUUGUCACUGGACCUCAAGGAACGCCUCAUAGCCAACUAAGACAUCCAGCGGCAAAUUUUGCACUUAUUUCCACCAUUUUCUACUGUUUUCUUUCUGUCUUUGGAGCGACUAUCCUUCAUCACAUCGUGUAUUACAUAUUAACGUUACUAUAUAGUGAUUGAGCAAAGGACUAGUAUUGGGGGAAAUAUUCAGUAUAGUACACUAGUUUCCAAUAUAGAAUACUAUCUACUUAAUUGUGACCUUACACCUAAGUUGUUUCCAACAUGGUAUCAGAGCUAUAGAAAUUUUUGAUCCUUAUAAAGCUUUAAAAAAUGAUUUAUCUAGAAAAAAAUUGCUGAAAAUACAAACUAGAUUGUAAUGACAACAAUAAUAUAAUCUACUAUAAUAGGAAAGGUUGAUGAAGAACUUGAAGUUCUUCAAAUCAUGAGAAUCAAUUCUAAAUGUAAAAAAGGUAAAAUUGAAUUGAUUAAGAAUAAUUUAAUAAAUAAUUUCAAUUCAACUUGAAACUAAGAGUAUUGAAGAUGACACAGAAAGUAGACAUCAAUCAUGUUCCAAAAUUUGAUGGUUCAUAUUUUAAUACAUGGAAACAUAGAUUAACACUAGUUUUUAAGAUUGAAAAGUUAUGGUCCAUAGUAAGUAGUGAAGAAUGCUUACUAGUAGAACCAACAGCACGUGAAGUUGCUGCCAGAAUUCCAGCUUUACCUACUAUAGGAGUAGGGAGUAUUUAGUGCAUGGGUAGACAAGGAUACCUUGUCUAUAACCAUAAUCAACAAUUACCUAGAAAACAACAUUGUUUCACAUAUACAAUCUUAUACAUCAAUAAAUUUAGUAUGGCAAGAACUAAUAAAAAUAUUUGAAUCACAUGAUGCAGUAACUAAGAUGUAUUUAAAAGAUAAAUUAUAUACUUUAAAAAUAAUUUAACAUUUGAUAAUAAUUCAACCCUAUAUGUAGGCAAGAAAUUUUAGAAUAACAAUAAGAAAACUUAUUUUAAUAAGAAUUUUAGAAGUAGUCUGCAAGAAGAUAGUAGUAUCUCCAAGCCACAUGAAAAGAGCAAUUUUGCUAUUGUCAAUAAGUGUUUUUUUUGCAAGAAUAAACUAUAUGUGGCAGCACUUAUAGUUAAAGAAAACUCAAAAUUCAAUAUGGCAUGUGGACUCGAUAACAACUCAACAUAUAUAUCAUGAAUUAGCAAGAUUUGUCAAAUACAUCAAAAAUGAAGACAAACAAGUUGUCUAUUUAGGAGACAAUACUACAACAUACAUCAUAGAAGGAUAUGGUGAUGUAAAUUUCAAACUCAUAAAUGGUGAUGAGAAGAUUAUACUUGAUGUAUUACAUAUACUAGGACUUGCAAAAAAUUUAUUCUCUACCAAAUAAUUAGAUAAGGCAAGAAGAGAAAUUUACAUAAGAGUUGGAACAACUACAUUAAUCAAUAAAUUUGAUAACACCAUUGCAAUCUGCAAAUUAAAUCCUGAUUUAUAUGAAUUAGGUACAACAAUACUUUUAAACAAGCUUCAAAUUGUAAUUCCAACAACAACAUAAUUCAAUAAAGCUGAUUUGUGGCACCUAAGACAAAAACACAUAAAUCAACAAAGAUUCAAAUAAAUACAUACAAUGGCAAAAAGAAUUGUCUUCUUUGAUAAAAAGAAAAUUACCUUAUGUCAAUCUUGCAUAGAAGGUAAACAACAUAAGGAGAAGUUUCCUGUAGAAGGUACAUAAAGAGCUAUCCAAUUGUUAGAACUUGUACAUUCUGAAAUUUAUAGUCCUAUACAAGAAGGAUGUACUUACUUUAUCACAUUUAUUGAUGAUCAAACAAAAUAUUGUUAAGUAUAUUUGAUGAAACAAAAUCUGAAGCAUUUGAAAAAUUCACCUUAUAUAAAAUUUUUGUGGAAAAACAAACAAGUUUCAAAAUGAAAACCUUAAGAUCUGAUUGGAGGUGAAUAUAAAUCAAAUGAAUUUAAAGAUUUAUAUAACAAAGAAGGAAUCAAAUAAGAAUACACUAUAGCUUAUACACCAUAAUAAAAUGGUGUUUCUAAAAGGAAAAAUAAAACAUUAAUAAGAAUAGUUCUCACAAUGCUAUCCUAUUCAAACUUACCUAAUUUUUUGAAAUGAAGCACUCUUAACCACUAAUUACCUCUAAAAUAGGAGUCCUACUAAAUCUAUAUAAGGUACCAAAAUACCAUUUGAAUUAUGGUACAAAUGCCAACCAAAUUUAUCUUACCUUAGAAUAUUUGGUUGCAAAGCUCAUGUAUUCAUUCCUAAAGAAACAAAAAAAGAAGUUAGACUCUCAUUCACAAGAAGCUAUCUUUCUAGGCUAUAGUGAAGAAUCUAAAGCCUACAGACUUAUGAAUAUAUAAAAUUAGCAAAUUCUUAUUUUCAAAGAUAUUCUCUUCAAUGAGAAUUUAUAUGAUCUAAAAGCAAAAUACUUGCUAAAGGACAAUAAAGAGUUCUUACUAGACUUAGAAUUAUUUAAUCACCCUAUAACAACUAUAAGAUCCAAUGAACAAAAUAUCCCUCUUAUUCAAUGACUCUCUUCACCACCAAGGCUAUACCUCUACAACAUCCAUAUAUUUGAUCAACAUCCACUACAUAGUACUUCUCAAAAUGUGAGAGAACAACCUCCUUUUCACAUUGAUGUCAUUCAUAACUUCUCUCAACUAUCAUUACGUAAUGAUGAUGAGAUAUUACUUCUUGAAUAUGAUAAAGCCCAUUUGACAUUGCAAGAUCUAAAUCUUCCUUCUAGUUCUUAACCAACAAGAAUUAUUAAACCAACCACAUGGUUGUUAGAAUCUGUACAAGACAAAAAAGAGUAUAAAUGCCAUUGUCAUUGAUAUCAUCAAGCCAACCUUAUUUCUACCAUCAUAGAAGCUCCAAACUCCAUUCAAGAAGAAAUGAAAGAGAAUAAUGCUCAAGAAUAGCAAAAAGAAAUCAAUGCUAAAAUUAUAUCCUUAAACUAAAAUAAUAUAUAGCAAAUGACAAAUUUACUACCUAAUAGAAAAUCAAUCAGUUCAAAAUGGUUUUUUAAAAUUAAAACUAAAGCUAAUGGAAGUAUUGACAAGUAUAAAGUAAGGUUAGUUACAAGAGGUCUCACUUAAGUUCAAGGCAUUGAUUAUACAAAAAAAUUCUCUCUUGUUGUUGUAUUACAUGAAGUCUUGCUUGAGAAUACACCAAGCACCUAGUUGUGGAAGGUAGAAUAGAAAUAGCAACAAAAUUUUAAUUCUAAUAGAAUACUAAAUAAAUUCCAAUUGAAUCUUAACAAUGCUAAAUAAGCUUUAAUCAAAUUCAAAAGAAAAUUUUAAAAAAUUACAAAAGAAACAAUAAGAAAUCUUAAAAUAAUUGAAAGAAAUCCACAAUAAACCUUAAAAGAAUCCUUAAGAAGUCCUAAAAAAUAUUAGAAUAAUUACAAAUAUAUCUUAAAUAAAUCUCAACCAAGUUCUAAUUUAAUCUUAGAUAAAAUCUUAAUAAAUUUAAAUCAAACCCUAAAAAAAUCCUAAAUCAAAUCCUAAAUCCUAAAUCAAAACCUAGACAAAUCCUAAACCCUAAACCAAAUCCUAACCAAUUCAAUCUAAUCUUAGUACUAUUUAGAAUUUCAAUAUCUAUCAAUCAAAUCAUUGAUUUUUUCUAAAAAUUUUUAUACUUCUCAAAAACUAAGUUGGUAAUAAGCAUAAAAAAUUUGAAGAUAAUUGCACUUAUUAAAUGGAAGAAAAACCCUAAAAUCCGCUCAAGUAUUGGCCAGCCUCCUACUCCAAUCUAAAUGUUGAACUUCCAGCACUUAUAUCUCCUUAUCAAACUAUUCAAUUGUUAUCAAAUUUCACAUAUGUAUAGCAAAUCAAUUUUAUCAUCCUCAAAUAUGAAUUUUAUCUCAAUCCAACAAGUAGAUCACUAAAGAUCUUAGAAAUCCUAAUUACCUCUUAAAGUUUAAUUUCCGAGACCUCAAUCUACUUGAAAUUCAAUAUCCUUCAAUUCAAUCAUUUGAUUAAGCUCAAACUUGUAGCAUACACUUUAGAAAACUAAUUUCACAAGUAAUCAAAACUUGAACUAUAGAUCUACUACCAAACUCACAAAAUUCUCCAAAAUAUAUCAUCCUUUUUAUUUCAUAAUUUUCAAAGUUUUCUAAAAAAAUUGUGACUUUGUAAAGCUCUUGUAAAGUCAGUACACAUUUAAUUCCCUCAAAAUCAAUACUUAAAGAAAUUCUAUCAAGUUUUUUCAUAAAUCCUACUCUUUGAUCUGCCAAAGAAUCCUUUAAUUACCAUCCAUGCCUAGUUUUGUGCCUUGGGUCUGAUUUUGACCUAGGUUGAUAACCGGUCCACUUUGGGUAUCAAAUUUUGCCCUUUUGAGUUAAUUUUUAUUUAAAUCAACUCCUAACUUCUUUCUUCAUAUGCUAAUAUUCUUUAUUUUUCCAAUCUAUCUUAUUUUGCCUUAUUUAUGGCCUUACAAAAUAAGUAGAAGCCUACUUUGUAAAAAGAUAGCAUUUAAACCUUUAGUUCUACUUUCUUUUGGAUUAUUGUCUAUUUUCUAAGAUAAUUUGCUACAAUAUUUGAAGUAUGAGAUUUUAUAAUAUAAUAGAUUUUUCAUCCCUUUUACCUAUUAUGCAUGUUAGAUCACAACAUUGUAACCAAACUUAACUCCAUCAAAGUUCUUCUUACCUUAGCUACUCAACAUAAUCUGGAAAUACACAAAUUAGAUGUUAAAAUAAUAUUUUUAAAUGGUUUUUUGGAAGAACAUAUCUAUAUUACUAUUCCAAAAGAAUUACCUUCUAUACAUCUUUAUAAGGUAUAUAAGUUAAAUAAAUCCUUUUAUGGACUUAAAUAAUCUUUUAGAACUUGGUAUCAAAGAUUAGAUCAAUACUUACUUCUUCAUAAAUAUCAACAUCUAGAAUAAGAUGCAAACAUUUACAUCAAAAGAAAAAAUGAAAAAAGAUUUUACCAUAAUCAUAAUCUAUGUUGAUGACUAUAUCAUUAUCAAUAAUAAAAUUUCUUUAAUUCAGCAAGCAAAGGAUAUUUUACAACAAGAAUUUGAUAUAUCGCAUGAAAGAAAAAUCCAUUAAACUCUAAGCAAUGCUAUUUUCAAAAAUCGAGAAGAAGGAUGGAUAACCCUAUAUUAAGGCAAAUAUUUAAUAAAUAAACUUCAUAAAUUUAAUAUGUUGAAUUCUAAUCUAUUAAAUAUCCCAAUUCAAUCAAGAAUUUGUUUGAGUAAUGAAGACCAUAUUACUUUCCAAGAUUAUUCCUAUUCUCAAGUUGUUGAAAGUUUAAUGCAUGUUAUUGUUAAUUUCAAACCACAUUGUGCUUAUGCUAUCAGUAGUUUAGUCCAAUAUCUUUCUAAACCAGGCUCUACACACAUUCAAACUUUGAAAAGAACUACAUGAUAUAUAAAAGGCACAUUAAAUUUUAGAAUUAAAUAUUAAUACUUACCUCACAAUGAUAUUGUUCAUAGUUAUUUUGUUGCUGAUUGGGCAGGUGACAAGGAUACUCAUUGUUCCACCUUUAGCUUUUGCUUCUUACUAGCUGGAAGAGUUAUCUCUUGGAGUAGCAAGAAACAACAAUUUGUAGCUUUAUCAUCUACAAAACCAGAAUACAUGGCUUUAACAAAAGCUACAAUUGAAGCCAUAUAUUUAAGAAAGUUAUUACAUGAACUUGGCUUUUCACAACAUGCACCAACUACCAUAAAUUUAGAUAGUCAAAGUGCCAUUGCUUUUAGUAAAAAUCCGAAAUAUCACUCUAGGAGCAAACAUAUGGACACACAAUACCAUUUUACCAAAAAAAAGAUCCUUGCCAAGGACAUCAAACUUCAAUAUAUACCAACCACACAUAUGACAAUAGAUAUAUUUACAAAAUCUCUUUCCAAAGAGAAACAUUUGUAAUAUCUAUCUCAACUAGCUUGGUACAAAACUACAUAAAAACUCUCCAACAUUGCGACAUCAAAAAAGAGAUUGAAAUCCUAAAUUUCUCACAUAUAUUUGUUUUGAAAUGAAUGAACUUUUAUAAUGGAUGAAAUUUAAUUCACUUAUGAAAACUAGUGUUCUAAUGGGAGUAUUGGGAGAAAUAUUCAAUAUAGUACACUAGUUUCCAAUAUAGAAUACUAUCUACUUAAUUAAUUGUGACCUUACACCAAGAGUUGUGACUCUUGGUGUGACACUUGUACACUUAAUAUAUUGUCAGAGAAUUGAUCAUAUUAAUAUAAGAUGUUUCCAACAACUAGAUCAUGAAAUAUUUCAUUAUUGUAGCCGAACUGGAUGACUUCCACACAGUGUGCUCACCUUUAGAGCUGCAGUUCCAUGUAAAUCGCACCAUGAAUUGAACGGCGAUGAAUAAAGUCAAAUCUCUCAAGAUUCAUCACAGCCUUUUAAAAUGCGUACUGGCUCAGACAUUUUCUUUUAAACAGUAGAAUCUUCACAAUAUCGUUGCCUCGGAGGAAAUCUUUCAUCGAAUUGAAUAUUUGCCUGGGUACUGAAAAAUUUCCGCCUAUUGGUUUGUAGUCAGAUAGGCUCCUAUAAUACUCAAAUUUCGUGGAUCCUACACUCCUACACUCCCGAGUAAGUCAUGUUCAUGAAGUAUCAUCUCACUACUGCGUUUUGAGAGGGACAGUUUUAAGCUUUUCAACUGCUUUUGACGGGUACAAACCCUUGAUUUUGUCACCGCGAUUGUGAGUAAUUUUGGAGUUAAUCAGAAAUUCAAAGGAUUGAAGCUCUGUCUUCUAUAUCCUGAGUUUGAGAGGGAGAUCUCAGUUGCCACUGUUGUUUUGUUUGGUUUUGUUUUGUUUUUUUUCCUCCGAAAAAGGUGAUUAAUGCAUGUGCUUCUGAAUGUUUAACCUUAAUUUUCAUUAAUCUCAUUUCAACUAGCUGUCAUGUGCCCUGCUUUGAUUUAUUCAAAAUGGUUACUAAAUCUUAGAUGGUGAAGAACCACAUGAGCACAAAUUCUCAUCUGUCAUAUGUUUUGAAGGAAAUGGUCAAUGGCACAAUUAACAAGUGAAUUAAUCAUGUUUAUUUGAUGAUUGGUCUUACUGUUAGUCAUCACUUGAUUUUGGGUUCACCUACUAAACAGGAUUUUGGUAUAAGACCUGGCUUCUGCUAGCUAUCUUGAAGCACGCUCAGUAAACGUCAAAUAUCAGCAAGUAUGCUUGGCAACUGAUGCUCUUGUUAACGAUUAGAAAUUCAACAUGCUUAAACCAGGUGGACAGCGCGGUACCUGUGAAUCCAUGUAUUCUUAACAUACCAAACUUCAGAUUAGGAUUUCAGGUGAGAAUUUGCCUAGAGGCUAGCAUAAGAAUAUCUUGACAUCAUUUGCAGCGUAGUUUACUAUUCUCUAUUGUCAAACAACACUCACCUGGUAAGGGCAUAAUGGAUGCAAUGCAUUAGCAUAAUCCUGGGAUUUACUUUUGCAACUGGUGAUUACUCCGUGUUUGACCAGUAACUUCCAUCGUGCUUUCAAACGGAACCAGACACGGUCCGGCUGAGCUUCAGAGCGGCGCUCAAGCAGUCGAACUCUGUCGUUGUCAUCUUCAUAGAAUACUGUUCUCAGUUUCGUCAACUCUCCAAUUUCCGAAGUGGUGUUGUGGAAUGUGCACUGGAGUUGCGACCCUACAACACCUCAACUCCCACAGUACAUCAUGUGCCGGCGCCAACGCUUACACCUGAUCUUACUACCUUCGCCUUCAUCAACAAUGCUGGCAGAACUACUGGGUCAUGACCACUGCACCAUCAGAUUCACCACUAUUGUCGAGAAUCUCAGAUUUCAAUGCACCAUAUGUAUAUUAAACAUCGAAUAAAAUGUCUCAUUAUUUCAUAGAAACUAGUAUUGAAGAAGUUCUAUGCAUUGCAAUCAAUCAUUGGAUGAAGAACUGAAAGCUUAUCGAUGUUGCAUAGUCAACCCAUGCACAACUUGCAACUGAGGACCUCGGCGAGCUGCUUGAAUACUGGACUAACUCUGCUGCAGUAGGACAAUAAUGAGGUGUCAAUCAGCAAGAUGGCUACUUUCUACUAGGUUAGCAUGAUUUAUUUUUCUUUUAUGAAGCAUAAGCGAGUUAACUCCUUUGUAGAUGAAAUACUCAAUAUACUAACUUUGGAUGUUCUAUUCUUACUUUUGGGAGGAAGGUGUUGCACUGUUUUAUGGAAUUAUUUGCAGAUAGCAAGUUUAUUGGCUCUAAUGUUAGUCCUUACAAAUUAUUUGAUGUAUUUUGGUUUCUUUUGAGAUCUCUUACAAAUUAAGAUAUUUAUAUUUUGUUAAUAGAAUCUAUGAUAAUUAUUUAUUCUAAAUUAAAUGGUUCUCUCUAUUUUAUCUUCUAUAUAUAUUUUUUAUCAAAAACAUUUAAUAUUUUGUUGUUAUAAUGGAUUUUUAUAAUAAUUUAUAAACAGAAGUAAAUAGAAGUAUGUAAGAAUAUGCUAGGUAAAUAAAAUCUUCUUAAAAAAACUUUAAAGAAUUUUUCUAAAUACAUAUUAGAUAUUUAAAUACUUAUAGAUAUGCCACAUCUCUAUUAAAACUCAUUUUUUUACUUUUUAUUUUUUAUGUCUAAAAAUAUAUAUUAAAAAAAAUCUAUAAUUCAACAUUUAGACUAUAAGUCUUAAGAUUUGUAAAAAAACUUGUACUUGGCAUUUGUAGCCAAUUGUUAAGAACAUGAAUGAUAAUAAAAUUGAAAAGGCAAUAUAUUCAAGUAUUAUUAAAGAAUAAAGAAGAUAAAAAAAUAUAUAAAAAUAAUUAUAAGAUAGAUAAAAACUAUAAUGGCUAUUGUAAAAUACAAAGAGAUUAUAGAGUCUUAAAUUAAGAUUAGAAAUAUAAGAAAGGUGAUGAUAAGAUUAAAUAUGUCUUUAUGUCACGAUGUCGUGUUGUAACACAACUAUAAGGUGAAAAUAUAAAUAAAAAAGAUUUUAUUAAUAUUUAGUCAUCUUAGAUGUUAGAAAUAGUAGCCAAUUCCAGUGUCAAUAUUUAGGUUCCAGUUGAUGUCAUCCCAUUGCAAGCUAUACCACUGUACAUGAUAUCAGUAAUAUGCUCUACCGGCGUCAUCGAACCAAGUACCUUCCAUACCAAUGGGACAACCACGAUCAUUUUUUAACCCUUUAUGGAACAAGCCUAAUAGGUAUAUACCAGUGGAGACACCCAAUAUGCCUGACGGGGGUGCAAGAAGACCACUUCGUUGUUUCCGUUACAGACAGAUUGGUCAUUAUGCUAGUGAAUAUCCCAAUCCCAGAGCCAGUGAUGAUUAUGCGCGAGUGUGUGGGAAUUGCAAGCAGUCGGGGUAUACUUAUCAACAAUGUAAUGCCCCGUUCAAUUUCAAUAAUCAGGAUCUGUAGAUCCAAAGUCAAGAAAAAAAAUUGAGGAGAUAAAUUGAGGUCCUCAAGAUUCUCCGAUAAAUCAAGUGGAAUGUGUCCAAGCCGGUCUUAUCAAGAGUCAGCAAAAGGGAAAAGGACCAAUUCAACAUAUAGGUGAGUCUAAUGCGAAGGGCCAAUUUGACUCAAUUAUGGGGACAUCCAAUCCAGAUCUUGUUAUGGGCCUCUUAUCCAGUAUGAGACCUGACUCGGUUGGGCAACUCAAUGAGGUCCCGAUUACAGAGGUUUCGGUUCUAUUUCAAGCUGUUUCGUUCUCUAUGCGAUUUUGGAGAAACAUCCUUUCCAUGGAAAGAUCCUUUUAGAGGCAAGAAUUCCAUGGAAGUACAAUUUGUUGUUCCAAUUUUGAGUCCAGGGUGGAAGAAUAGAGGACCUCACAGAGUAAAAAAAAAAAAAAAAAAAAAAAAAAGAAAAAAAGGAGAUUGGAAUUUUUUGGGAUUGGAGAGCUAGCUUCAAGCUCCUUCAAAAGGUGUAGGACUUGGUUUCAUAGGAUUUGGGAGGACUUUGCAAUCAUUGUUCAAAGCCAGUAUUUGUAUUAGUGAAUUGGAUUUUUUGCAAUAAAGUUAAGGCUAGUACUCUUGACUAUUUUGUGAAAUUGAAGAAACAUCUGUGGUUGAAAUUUUAGAGAUGUCUAGAUGGUUGAGUAUGCCAAGUAUAUGAAAAAAUUUGUGUUAAUCAAAUGGUACGGAUAGAGGAUGUUUGAUUAUUAGUAUAAAGAGGUAUCAAAAGUCGACAUAUUGGGGUUGUUUAGGAUUUCUGUAAUAUCUGAAGAUCUAUCAACUAGAAUAAGGUGAAUUUUGAUGUGGUAAGUCAAGGACUUAAAUGCGGAGCUGCACGCAAGAUUUGAAUAAGAAUUAAUGAUUAGAGAAGGAGAAAUUGUAAGUUAAGGUUUGUCAUCAACUUUCUAGGUAGUGGUCAAGGAACAUUAGUGUGAAUUUACGGUGUUUUCUUGCAAUCUAUGGUUGAAACCCACUAGACUACUUGGAUACUUACAAAACAUCAUUUUACCUUCCACAACCACAUGCUUGGUGCAUUCUCAAGCAAGAUAUCAUGUAAUACAACAUAAAUGGUGAACUCGAUGUGAAAUGCUUGAGGUGGGAGGUAUUGAAAUUCAUUUAUUUUUAUUUUAUUUUUAUAGAGAACGAGAAUAAAAAUUUUGAAAGAGCUUUGGGAGGAGCUUCAAGUGGAGCUUCUGGUGGGGUUUCUUCUAAAGGACAAGGUAUGUACAUGGAUCUGUUCAUUGUUAAUAUAUUUCAAGCCUUAUCAUUAUCUAUGCAGCAAUAGCAAAGCAAUGAUCGCAAAGAAGCUUUAGCAACCAAAGCAUUGUAAGCAAUGGUCAAUAAAAUUGAUCAAUUUGAUGGAAGUGAUAUUUCAAAGUAUUUAAGAUGUUAUAUUUAAAAAAUAAAAUUAAAUCAGAUUUCCGAGAAGAAGAUGGUUGAAUUAUUUGGACUUGCCACGAUACCGGAAAUAAGAGAGCAUAUUACAUCAAUUAUGGAGUAUUAUGGAAAUUCAUGGGAGAUUUUUUUACAUACAUUAAAAGACAAAUGUUUCUUGAAGGACACUGAUCAUAUUACUAAGAAACUAUUUUUAGAAUAGAUUGAGCGGCCUAAUAAGAAUUUGUAAGCAACAAAGCUAUUAAGGGAAUUUGAGAGGCAAUAUUCUCAAUUAUUGAAGGUAGAAAAAUUGACAUUAGAGCCGAACAAGGUUGAAUUAUUUCUUCAAGCUGUUGAUGGAGAAUUACAAGGAAAAUUGGAAUUGCUUCUUGAAGACAAAGAAGAAGAUGAAGGAUUGACAACAAAGUAGAAAAAUAUUGAAAAUACGGUAGAUUUGCUUGCAAAAAGAGAAAGGAUGAAGGAUAGGAGUAAUAUUCUAAAAGCAGUAUAAGCACCUAAAAUUCCAAUACAUAUAACAUGACCAACAAUGCUUAUUGUUCAACCUUCAAUAUUUUUAUCGAAAAAAAGAGAUAUGGAGAUUGAAGAAAUUAUACGUCAAAUGCGAGAUCUUCAAAUCAAAUUGGCAAGACUUGAAGAAAAUAAUUCUACAAAUAAUUUGAAGAAUGUUUCAAAACAAGAAUAUGUACAAAGAUGUAUUUGGUGUGAUGAUGCUUCAGAUACUAGGAAGGAUUGUAAUGAAUUUAAUAAUAUGGUAUAGCAAAGAGUUUUUUAUUGGAAAGAUGGAAAGAUUGCAUUAAAGGAUACAGAAGAUCUCUUUCAAACCAAUUUUGACAAAGGAAGUAUGAGAGUAUUGAUUCAAGAUUAUUUAAUAGAGCAUGGAAUAGCAACACAAAAGAGUGCAAGUUAUGGUACUAGAGUAGAUGAUGACUUUGGUAGGAGUAUAGAAACUAGUGAAUUUUGGGCUUCUACCAUUUCUACAAUGAAAAAAAAAAAAAUGCCUAGGGAAGCGUUAUUGAGGACUGCAGAUACAAUACGAGGUGCAACAGGUUGGAAAGAUCCUAUUGAGUCUCUUCCAGUUCAUGCAUAUAUUGCUAAGAGCCAAUAUGAAGCUUUGAUGGAAGAAAAGAGAUGAAAAAAUUUUGAUGAUACAAGAAAAGGAAAUUCUUCUAAGAGACAAGCUCAAGGAGACAAGGCUCGUGAGGCGGCUUCAUAAGAAUUACAUAUAAAAGAUACUUUAGCAUCAUUGGAAGAAAAAACAAAGAAGACAAAAGAUAAGCAUAAAUCAAUUGCUUAUAAGCUACUUUCUGAUAUUGAAGCAGCAACAAAUUUAAAAGAGGUGUUGGAAGAACGUAUACUAAAUGCUAAGGUGGAAUUCACAUUAAAAGAAAUUUUGAGAAUUACAAAGAAGAAGUUUCAUGAUAUUAUCAUUGACAGCAUUGAGCGAAAGAGGUAAUUAAUGGGUGAAGCUGGAAUGAGUCAUGCUAUUGAUGCAAGUUUAUAUAAAGUUGAAGAAGAGGUUGAUAAUGAUUACAAGCAAUCAACAAAUGAAAAGAAUGGGUAUAAUUAACGAGUAUAUUUUGAAGAUUAUAGUAAUAAGGAAAUAGAAGCUUCAAGCCAUUAUACUCGAAAGCUUUGGACAAGGGCAACUACUAAAGUAUUGGUGAAAGUAGGAGAUAUAGAAGAACCAAUUGUUGCUUUAAUCGACCAUGGUUUUGAAAUAAAUCUUAUGUCUAAGGAUCUUUAUAAGAAGCAGAAAUGGUCAAUUGAUAUGGAACAUGGAUGGGCAAUACGAGCAGCUAAUAAAACACGAGGCGAAUUAUAUGGAGCUUGUCCAGAUGUCAAAAUUUGGAUUGGAGAUGUUCCGACAGAACAACAUUUCUUUCUUAAAGAUACAACAUCUUAUCCAUUGAUUUUAGGACAACCUUAUAUUACGGCAACACGGAUGGAAAUAAAAGUACUUGACGAUGGUUCUGCUUAUGCAAGGGUACGUAGUGAAGAUGGAAAGAAAGCUAUACAAUUUCUAACAGUACCUCCUAAUCAUGAACAAAAUUGAGAUAGGUUGAAGGAGAAACCAUUGCCAAGGGUUGUUGAAGAAUUUAAGGAUUUUGGAGAAAUACUACUAUAAAGUAGGAUUAUGGAGGUACAAAAGAAGACAUACUCUCGCAAGAUGUAGGUACCUUUGAUACGAGUUUUAUUGAUAUUUUUGAGAAUGGAAAUAUUAUGUAUAAGAAAGUUGAUGAUUUUAAAAGAAAAGAAAGAAAAAGAUUCUAUAGUAUUGAAAGGAAAUUAUGCAAGUUAGGAACAUUAGAAGAUGAUUAGAGGAUUUUAGGUGAUUAUGAAAAAAAUGGAUUAGAAGAUUUUUUGGAAUUAAUUGCAUCUAUUGGAUUAGAGGAUAAUGACAAGAUUGUGGAAAUUUAUUCGAAGGAGGUUUAUACUAUACUUGAAUCUUUUCAAGUACCAGAAGUUAUUGUAGAGACAAAAUAUAAAGCAGUAGAUAAAAAGGUAAAACUUGUUGCCAGACCUUUAGUAGAAGAUUCUAAGGAGCAAAUGGAAGAAGCGUCAAAAGAAGAGAGUUUAAGAGAUCCAAAGAAGAUUAGACAUCAGUUUACAAAGGAGACUUUUGAAGAAUUGAAGAUUGGAUGUGAUGGUUCUUUAUUUCCAACAGAAAUUAAAUAUUUUAAAAAAAAUACUUGUGAAAUGAGAUAAAUCAUUUACUUUUAGGUCUCGUGAAAUAGGAUGUGUAGAUCCUAAUGUUGUUAUUCCUAUGGUUAUUUUUACAGUACCUCAUGUGCCUUGGAACUUAAGGCCAAUUCUCGUGCGGAGGACACAUUUACCUAAAUUAGUAGAAUUAUUGAAAGAAAAGAUGUGAAUGAAAAUUUUGGAGCCUUCUUUUGCUCCAUAUUCUAGUCAUUGAUUUACGGUGCCUAAGAAAAAUGGAUUGUUACAUUUUAUUUAAGAUAUGCAGCCAAUGAAUGUAGUAACUAUAAGAAAUGCAAGUAUAGGAUCUUUAGUAGAUGAGUUUGUAGAAGCAUUUUUGGAAAAGGUAAUUUAUUCAAUGGGUGAUUUAUAUUUAGAUUAUAAUCAAUUUUAACUAGCACAUAGAAGUAGAGAUCUAACAACUAUGAGAACGCUACUUGGAUUACUUAAAAUGUGUACUCUCCCACAAGGUGCUACUAACUCAGUUACACAUAUGAUGAAUGGAAUGAACAAGGUAUUAAGAGACUUCAUUCUUGAAAAAAUUAUGCCUUUUUUAGAUGAUGUUCCUAUCAAAGGAUGUAAAGAAGGAAAAAAAGAUGAAACUUUAGAUCAGAGAGGGUGUCGCAAAUAUGUUGUUGAUCAUAUAUAAGAUUGUAAAAAGAUUUUAACCCGAUUUGAAGAGGUUCAUCUUAUACUUUCAGGAGCAAAAUCUACAUUUGGAAUGCAUGAAGUUCUUAUUGUUGGGCAUUUGUGUGGGUUUUAUGGGAAAAAGCUUUGCAAGUCAAAAGAGAACUUUGAAAAGUUGUUUUGGCUAUGAAAACUGAAAGGAAUUAUUUGAUUGGUGCAGCAGUAGUAAUUGAAACAGAUUGCUUGCUAUUACUUGGAAUGAUUAGUAAUUAUUCAAGCCGGAUAUUACAAUGUUAAGAUGGAUUUCUUAUAUUAAGUUAUUAAAUCCAGAAUUUAAGCAUGUUGCUGGAAAAGACAAUUUAGUAGCAGACAUGCUAUCUUGAGCAAGAUAUGAAAGAGAAGACGAAAUGGUUGAAGACCUUGAUGAUGUUGGAUCAAAAUUCUAUUCAGUAUCAAAUCUUAACAAAGAUGACAAGCUAUUUCUUGAAGAAUUUUAUGAAGGAGAAUUAUUGGAUAUUGGUAAUUACUUAAAUACCUUGACUAAGCAAGAAAUUUGGUCUACAGAAAAAUUUAAACAAAUAAGAAAAAAAGCAUAUGAAUUUUUGCUUCAAGAAAGAUUCUUAUAGAAGAGACCAAAGAAAGGAAUUAGAAUGCCACAAAGAGUGAUAGGCAAUAAGGAAGAGAAACAAAAAUUAUUAAAGGGGUUUCAUGAUAGUUUAUGGAUAGGACAUAGAAGAAUUUGGGCUACUUUUGCUAAACUUAAGGAACAAUAUUGGUGGAGAAAUAUGUAUCAAGAUGUCCUCUUAUUUGUAGAGUCAUGUAAAAUUUGUCAAGCUUAUCCUUAUAUACAACAUCGAGAUGGUCUUCAUCCUACAUAUCCUCUAAUUAUUUAUUUAAAAUGGGUUAUUGAUUUGGUUAUUAUGUCAAUCGGUUUAUGGCAAAUGAGAUAUUUGGUCUUAGUUCAUGAAGAUUUAUCAAAUCAAGUAGAAAGAAGAGCAUUGAGAAUAAAAUCUAUGGAAGGAAUUUGUAGAUUUUUGCUUGAAGAUGUUAUUUGCCGCUACGGAUGUGUAGGAAAAAUCACUACAAAUCGUGGAGAAUUAAAUGCACAAGAAGCUCAUGAAUUCUUUGAAAGAUGUGAAAUUAAACUAUCACUGAAUACUACUUAUAAUCCUGAAAGAAAUGCAAAAAGUGAAUGUGGUCACCCAUCGAUUGUAAAAGCAUUAGUUAAAGCUUAUAAUGGGAAGGUUAGAGAAUGGCCACGACUUUUGUCAUUUGCAUUAUGGGCUGAUCGGACAACUCAUAGCUCAGUAACAAGAUAUAUGCCUAUUGAGCUUAUGACAAGUCAAAAAUCAAUUAUACCAAUUGAAGAAAAGGUACUUACUUGGAGUAUACUACAAUGGAAAGAUGAAUUGAUAAGAAAAUAACUUCUAGCUAUUAAAAUUCAAUAAUUAGAGCAAAGAUCGGAAGAUGUGCAAAUAACAUUAGAAAGGUUAAAAAGAACAAGGUUAUAAAACAAGGCACUAUUUGAUAAGCAGCAUCGAUUGAGGCUUAAAGCAAUUGAAGAAGGUGAUUGGAUUUUGAUCUAUGAUAGUAGCUUGGACAAUCAACAUAGUACUUUAAAGAAGUUUUAUAAACGAUGGUUUGAACCGUAUGUGGUAACAACUGUUUAUGAUAAUGUAACUUAUUCAUUGCGAGAGUUUAAUGGAAUAAGGUUAAAAAUACCAAUUGUAGGGAAGUAAGUAAAAAUAUUUAAAUAAAGAUACACAAAAAUAAAUAUAGAAGACCUUGGUGAAGACAUAGAUAUUUCUCAACAGGAAGAUGAAAUUAAAUUAGAUAGCAAAAGUGAUAAAGAGGAUUUGGAUGAAGACUUGAAGAACAUAUUAUGAAUCAAACAAAAAUUAGGUUAUUUGGUGCAUACCAAAAGAUGCACAGGUUCAUGGAGGGUGGAUGUCAUGUUGUAAUAUGACUAUAAGGUGAAAAUAUAAAUGAAAAAGAUUUUAUUAAUAUUUAGUCAUCUUGGAUGUUAGAAACAAUGGCCAAUUCUAGUGCCAAUAUUCAAAUUCCAAUUGAUGUCACCCCAUUGCAAGCUAUACUACUAUACAUGACAUCAACAAUAUACUCCACCGGCAUCAUCAAACCAAGUACCCUCCGUAUCAACUGGACAACAGGAUCAUUUUUUAAUCCUAGAUGGAACAAGCCUAGUAGGUAUAUACUAGUGGAGACAUCCAAUAUGCCUGAUGGGAGUGCAAGAAGACUACUUCGUUGUUUCCAUUGCAGAUAGAUUGGUCAUUAUACUAAUGAAUGUCCCAAUCCUAGAGCCAGUGACGAUUACAUGCCAAUGUAUGGAAAUUGUAAGCAGUCGGGGCAUACUUAUCAACAAUGUAAUGCUCCGUUCAAUUUCAAUAAUUGGGAUCAGUAGAUCCAAAGCCAAGAAAAAAAAUUGAGGAGGUAAAUUGAGGUCCUCAAGAUUCUCUGAUAAAUCAGGUGGAAUGUGUCCAAGCCAUUCUUAUCAGCAGUCGGCAAAAGAAAAAGGGACCAAUUCAAUAUUUAGGUGAGCCUAAUGUAAAAGACCAAUUUGACCCAAUUAUGGGGAUAUCCAAUCCAAGUCUUAUUAUGGGCCUCUUACCCAGUAUGAGACCUGACUCGGUUGGGCAACCCAAUGAGGUUCCGAUUAUAGAGGCUUCAGUUCCAUUUUAAGCUAUUUCGCUUUCUAUGCGGUUUCGACAAAACGUCCAUUUCGUGGAAAGAUCUUCUUAGAAGCAAGAAUUCCAUGGAAGUGUGGUCUGUUGUUCCAAUUCUGAGUCCAGGGCAGAAGAAUAGGGAACCUCACGGAGUUAAAAAAAAAAAAAAAAAAAGAGAUCAAGAUUUUUUGGGAUCGGAGAGUUAGCUUCAAGCUCUUACAAAAGGUAUAGGACUUGGUUUCAUAGGAUUUGGGAGGACUUUGCAAUCAUUGCUCAAAGCCAGUGUUUGUAUUAGUGAAUUGGAUUUUUUACAAUAAAAUUAAGGCUAGUAUUCUUGACUCUUUUGUGAAAUUGGAGAAACAUCUGUGGUUGAAAUUUUAGAGAUGUCUAGAAAGUUGAGUAUGCCAAGUGCAUGCAAAAAUUUGUGUUAAUCAAAUAAUAUAGAUAGAAGAUAUUUGAUCAUUAGUGUAAAGAGGUAUCAAAAGUCGACAUAUUGGGAUUUUUUAGGAUUUUUGUAAUAUCUGAAGAUCUAUCAGCUGGAAUAAGGUGAAUUUUGAUGUGAUAAGUCAAGGACUUAAAGAUGGAGCUGCACACAAGAUUUGAAUGAGAAUUAACAAUUGGAGAAGGAGAAAUUUCAAGUCAUGAUUUAUCAUCAACUUUCUAGGUGGCGCUCAAGAAAUUUCAGUAUAGAUUUACGACGUUUUUUUACAAUCUAUGGUUGAAACCUACUAGACUACUUGAAUACUUACAAAACAUCAUUUUAUCUUCUACAACCAGAUGCCCGGUGCAUUCUCAAGCAAGAUAGCAUGUAAUACAACAACGAACAUAUACAUUUAUUUCAAUAGUUACUUAUAUGAUUAAAUAGAAGUAGGUAAAUAUAGAAUAAUUUCAUAAAGUCUUCUAGAAAAGCUUCCUUGAAGCAUUAUAGAUAUAGUUUUGACUUUAGAUAUAUUUGUAGGUUAGAAACUUGGUCAAAAAGCUAAGCAUGUAUUGGUAGCUUGUGGAACAAGUUAUCUUCAUGUAGUAGCUUGUGAAACAAGUUAUCUCCAUGUAGUAGCUUGUCGAACAAGUUAUCUCCAUAUAGUAGCUUGUGGAACAAGCCAACUACAUGGCACAUAGAUAGAUAACUUACCUUGCAAGAUAAGACAUGUGGCUAACAAAGUCAAUAUAUAUUGGAGGUCCUAUAGGACAUCACCACGUAGUUCUUAGUUAGAUAGUAUAUAUGGAGGCAAGAGUGAAGCUUUUUUCUCUCUUGUCAAUGCCUUUCUAGUCUUAGUCUUGUUUCAAGACUUUUUAGUCUUAUUAUUUUUCGCAAUAGCUAUUCUAGUUAAUAUUACAUCAUCUUUUGAGUGACUUUGUAGUUCUAUUUAGUGAUAGGAGAGUGUAUUGAGGAUUCUCUUUCUUCGAGAUUCAUGUCCUUGAUAGUUUGACAAGAAUGCCAAUAUAUUAUUUCUGUCUUGUUUUAGAAGUGAGUGAAUUAUCUCACUUCUAUUAUUGUAUUUUGAAGGUUGUGGACUACCCAUCUUUAAACAAAAAAUCUUGUUUUCUAAUACUGAUCUUUUCCUUAAAGAUAGUAGAUUACCCCUCUUUGUGGGAUUUAUUUUUAGAGAUUACAGAUUACCUUCUUCUAAUUUAAUUUUUGAAUUUAUUUGAGUUAUCUAUGGAAGGAAAGAUUAUAGAUGCUACUGUCAAUGGAAGUGAAAAUAGAUUUAUAACUAUGGCAGAUCUUCAUGAGCUUGUGAAUACUCUAAGAGUAGAAAUCUCACGUAUUUCCAAUGUGAAUCAUGGAAGUACUAUGCCUAUGCCUAUGAAAGAAGUUCAGAGUCUGCUACAAGAAGUUGUGCAAUUGAAAGAAGCAAGUAAUUCAACGUCACAACCAAAUCUAGGGAGUUUUGCUUCUACAAGUAUGAUAGGGACAAGGAUUAAUAUGCUUGAGAAGUUUGAUGGAACAAGAUCAAAAUUUUGAGGAUUUUUGCAACAAGUCAAGUUCUAUCUAAGGUUGCACCCUUUCCAAUAUCCUGAUGGAUUUAUUCAAGUUGGAUUCAUAAGUGCACUACUAUCAAAAAAUGCUCUCUCUUGGUUUGCACCUUUAAUGAAAAAAGAUUCAUGACUCCUUUAUGAUUUGAAUUCAUUCCUAGAAAGGUUUACAGCUAUAUUUAGAAAAAGUGAUUAAGAAUGAGUAGCAAAGACCAAGCUUUUAUCCUUACAGCAAGGAUCACCAUCAACCACUACAUAUACUGCCAAAUUCCAAAACCUUACUUGUGAUGUGGACUGGAACGACAAAACACUUAUCAACCAAUUUUGAUAUGGGUUGAAGGAUAGCAUCAAAGAUUUAUUAUUAAAAAUACCAAAAGUAGAAUCUUUAUAAUAAUUUAUUAUUCAAGCCAUUACAUGCGAUAAUUAUUUAUUUGAAAGGCAUCAAGAACAAAGAUUUGGUUGAAGAGGAACAAGUCAAGUAAUGGCGACAGCUCCUAAGUUUUUUGAAACAUAUUUAUCAAAGUCGAAACUAAUACAAAUUGAUAUGAUAUGUUUCAAACCUCUCACAAAGUAGGAAAAGACUCAAUGUUGCUAAGAGGGGUUAUAUUUAUAUUGUGGAGAAGUUAAGCACAUUGCUCAAUAUUGUCCAAAGAAGCAACACGAUUACAAAAUGAGAGGCACAAUUAUCAAAGAAGAUAAUGUAUCAAAAAAUGAGUUUCUCCAGCUACAAUAGGCAUUGUGCAGCUAGAAUUAUGUGCAACACCUAGUAAAGGUCAUAUCCUCUCUUCAGAUCCCUUACCUUGUUUUAUAAUAGAAGUAUAUUUAGGACCUAAUAAUCACAAAGUCUUUGUCUUAAUAGAUUCAUGAGCCUCUGCAUGUUUUAUAGACAAAGAUUUUGCCAAAAAUCAAAAAAUACCUUUAGUGAAGAAAGUUAAAUCCGUACAUGUAGAAGUCAUAGAUAAUCAUUUUUUGUCAUUUGGAAAUGUUACCUAUGAAACUAUUCCUUUAGAUAUAGUAAUUAAAGAUCAUAACAGUGUAGUAGUAUUUAAUGUAAUAAAAUCCCCCUCUAAUCCAAUUAUUUUAGGAUUAUCAUGGCUAGAAAAAUAUAAUCCUCAAAUAGAUUAGAUUUCUCAUAAUUUUAAUUUUUUUGAUAAUAUAAUCCAAGAUCACGUUAGUAAAAUAGAAGUACGUAAGUCUAAUAAAUCCAAACCUUUACUAGUAGGUGUAAAAUCUUUCAUGCAUGCUGUAAAAGAAGGAUCAUCUUUUUCUAUAUAUGCUACAUCUAUUUCUAAUGGUAAAACAACGUCGAGUGAUAUUCCUAACCAAUAUCAAGAAUUCCAAGACGUUUUUGAAAAGAAGAAUGUAGAUAUUCUCUCCAAGCAUCGACCUUAUGAUUGUUCAAUUAUUCUGCAAGAAGGAGCUCAACCACCAUUCGGACCAAUCUAUAGCUUAUCACAAAAUGAAUUGGCUGCAUUAAAGGAGUGCAUUAAUGAAAAUUUGGCAAAGAACUUUAUAUGCCAUUCUAAAUCUCUAGCUGAGGCUCUUAUCUUAUUUGUGAAGAAGAAAGACGAAUCUCUAUGAAUGUGUGUGGAUUAUCGAGGACUCAACAAGAUCACCAUAAAAAAUAAGUAUCCUUUGCCUUUGAUUUCAGGACUUCUUGACCAAUUCAAUCAAGCAAAGAUCUAUACCAAAAUAGAUCUACGAAGAGCAUACAAGUUAGUUUGUAUCAAAGAAGGAGAUGAAUGGAAGACUACUUUUUGAACUAGGUAUGGACAUUUUGAAUAUAAUGUCAUGCCUUUUGGAUUCACGAAUGCACCAACUACUUUUUAAUAUCUUAUGAAUGAUAUUUUUCCUGAGUUUUUAGAUGAUUUCAUUGUUUGCUAUUUAGAUGACAUUCUAAUCUACUCUAAGAAUAUAGAAGAACAUGAGCUUCAUGUUUGUUGCGUGUUACAGAAACUUAGAGAUGCAAGAUUAUAUGCCAAGUUAGAAAAGUGUAUAUUCCACACUAUUCAAGUUGACUUUUUAAGGUACAUCAUUUUUAAUGAAGGCCUUAUGAUAGAUCCCAAGAAGGUUCAAACUAUCAUAGAUUGAAAGAUUCCAAGAACAAUAUGAGACGUACAAUAUUUUUUGGACUGUACUAAUUAUUAUCAAAUCUUCAUCAAGAAAUUUUCUCAAGUUGUAACUCCACUUACACGUUUGACUUGUAAAGACAAAUUUGAGUGGAAUAAAAAAGCAAAAGCAUUAUUUGAUGCUUUAAAGAAGGAAUUUAUUUCUGCACCAAUCUUGUAUUGUAUUGACUUCUGUAAGGCAUUUUUUAUGGAAUCAAAUGCAUCAGAUUUUGCUAUAGGUGCCGUGUUGUCAUAAAUGGGAAUAAAUGACAAAUUCCACCUAAUAGCUUUCCAUUCAAGAAAAAUUUUCAGCAACCAAAAUUAAUUAUAAGAUCCGUGACAAAGAACUCCUUGUAAUCAUGGAUUCAUUUUAAGAAUGACAUCAUUAUCUAGAAGGCACCUCAAGUCCAAUUACCAUAUAUACAAACCAUAAGAACCUUAAGUAUUUCAUGUUAGUACGUGUCUUGAAUCAUCGUCAAGCUCGUUAGAGUAUUUUUUUAUCUAGAUUCAAUUUUAAGAUCACUUAUCGACCCAAAAAACAACAAGGUCUAUCAGAUGCUCUUUCUAGACGUUCUUAUCUUGCACCAAAAGAAAGAGAUAUAUCUUUUAAUCAACAAAGAUCAAUUCUCUUGAAACCCAAGCAUUUUUAUCUUCAAGCUGUAAAAUCAACAUUGACUAUUGAUUCAACAUUUGUGAAGCAAAUUCAAUCAAAGAUGUCAUCUGAUCUUCUUAUUCAAGAUAUCAAGGAUACUGUCACGGCCAUAAUCAUGUAAGCUAAUAAUUACAUAUAGAAAUAGGUAGAAGUAAGUAAAAGUAGAUAAAAGUAAGUUAAUUGUAUAAUAUUUAAUAUAGAAGCUUCCUAGAAACUUCCUAGACGCUGCUUUGACUUCAUAGGUGUCUUUAAUUGACUUUUUGGAUUAGAAACGUGGUCAACAAGUUGGCCAUGUGCCACACAUGUUGUUAGCUUGAAGAUCAAGCUAACUAUGUGGCCCACACGUAGAAAAACUUGCCUUGUAAGUCAAGGCAUGUGUCCUACAAAGUCAACACAUAUUGGAGGUCCUAUAGAACGUCGCCACGUAGCCCCUAGUUAGAUAGUAUAUAUAGAGACAAGAGUGAAGGCUUCUUCACUCUUGUCAACUCCUUUCUUGCUUCUAGUCUAGUUUCAAGGGUCUCUAGUUUUCUUGUAUUUUGGCAAUAGCCAUUCCAAUUUCUUUCUUAAUAUACAUAUUUCUAUUUUGUCCUAUUUCUUUUUGAGAAAAGUCUCACUUACUCUUUAGCUUUCAUCGAGUUCUUGUCCUUGACAGAUUGACAAGAGUACACUUACAAUAUCAGAGCUUUGUUUUUUCUUGAGUAAGAGUGGAUUACCCCUUUCUCUUGACAAGACAUAAGCGUAUUAGAAGUUUGCGGAUUACCCACUUCUAAACUGAUAUUGUUCUUAGUAUCUUCUUUGUUAUCAAGUCUUUCUUUUCUUUUGUCUUGAGCAAUAUCAAACAAAUUUUUCUUCUUAGUGUCAUUAUGGCAGAGCUUGUUGAAAUGAAGAGUGCAAUGGCACAAAUGCAAGAGCAAAUGAGGGAGUUAAUGCUUGCGAUGCAUCAACUCAAUUCACCAACACAGGAAAGA